GUAACAGGGGGAGCUUGCUCCCCGCUGACGAGCGGCGGACGGGUGAGUAAUGCUUAGGAAACUGCCCAGUAGUGGGGGAUAGCCCGGGGAAACCCGGAUUAAUACCGCGUACGCCCUUCGGGGGAAAGCAGGGGCUCUUCGGACCUUGCGCUAUUGGAUGUGCCUAAGUCGGAUUAGCUAGUUGGUGGGGUAAAGGCCUACCAAGGCGACGAUCCGUAGCUGGUCUGAGAGGAUGAUCAGCCACAUCGGGACUGAGACACGGCCCGAACUCCUACGGGAGGCAGCAGUGGGGAAUAUUGGACAAUGGGGGCAACCCUGAUCCAGCCAUGCCGCGUGUGUGAAGAAGGCUUUCGGGUUGUAAAGCACUUUCAGUGAGGAGGAAGGCUGUAAGGUUAAUACCCUUGCAGAUUGACGUUACUCACAGAAGAAGCACCGGCUAACUCCGUGCCAGCAGCCGCGGUAAUACGGAGGGUGCAAGCGUUAAUCGGAAUUACUGGGCGUAAAGC
rnacentral:rRNA from 1 species